AGUGAACGCUGGCGGUAGGCCUAACACAUGCAAGUCGAACGGCAGCACAGAGGAGCUUGCUCCUUGGUGGCGAGUGGCGGACGGGUGAGGAAUACAUCGGAAUCUACUCUGUCGUGGGGGAUAACGUAGGGAAACUUACGCUAAUACCGCAUACGACCUACGGGUGAAAGCAGGGGAUCUUCGGACCUUGCGCGAUUGAAUGAGCCGAUGUCGGAUUAGCUAGUUGGCGGGGUAAAGGCCCACCAAGGCGACGAUCCGUAGCUGGUCUGAGAGGAUGAUCAGCCACACUGGAACUGAGACACGGUCCAGACUCCUACGGGAGGCAGCAGUGGGGAAUAUUGGACAAUGGGCGCAAGCCUGAUCCAGCCAUACCGCGUGGGUGAGGAAGGCCUUCGGGUUGUAAAGCCCUUUUGUUGGGAAAGAAAUCCAUCUGGUUAAUACCCGGGUGGGAUGACGGUACCCAAAGAAUAAGCACCGGCUAACUUCGUGCCAGCCGCCGCAGUAA
rnacentral:rRNA from 1 species